rnacentral:rRNA from 1 species
GACGAACCGUGCGAACGUUGUUCGGAAUCACUGGGCUUAAAGGGCGCGUAGGCGGGUCGAAAAGUCCGUGGUGAAAUCCCCCCGCUCAACGGGGGAACGGCCGCGGAUACUGUCGGCCUCGAGGGGGGUAGGGGCGAGCGGAACGCUGGGUGGAGCGGUGAAAUGCGUUGAUAUCCAGCGGAACUCCGGUGGCGAAGGCGGCUCGCUGGGCCCUCUCUGACGCUGAGGCGCGGAAGCCAGGGGAGCGAACGGG